rnacentral:rRNA from 1 species
UACGUAGGGGGCAAGCGUUGUUCGGAAUUACUGGGCGUAAAGGGCUCGUAGGCGGCCAACUAAGUCGGACGUGAAAUCCCUCGGCUUAACCGGGGAACUGCUUCCGAUACUGGAUGGCUUGAGUGUGGGAGAGGGAUGCGGAAUUCCAGGUGUAGCGGUGAAAUGCGUAGAUAUCUGGAGGAACACCGGUGGCGAAGGCGGCAUCCUGGACCAUUACUGACGCUGAGUGAGCGAAAGCCAGGGGAGCAAACGGG